GUCUAUGGCCAUGCCACCCUGAACGUGUCUGAUCUUGUCUGAUCUCAGAAGCUAAGCAGGGUCGGCCUGGUUAGUACUUUGAUGGGAGACCACCUUGUAAUACCAGGUGCUGUAGGCA
rnacentral:rRNA from 1 species